UGGGGAAUAUUGCACAAUGGGCGCAAGCCUGAUGCAGCCAUGCCGCGUGUAUGAAGAAGGCCUUCGGGUUGUAAAGUGCUUUCAGCGGGGAGGAAGGGAGUAAAGUUCAUACCUUUACUCAUUGACGUUACCCGCAGAAGAAGCACCGGCUAACUCCGUGCCAGCAGCCGCGGUAAUACGGAGGGUGCAAGCGUUAAUCGGAAUUACUGGGCGUAAAGCGCACGCAGGCGGUUUGUUAAGUCAGAUGUGAAAUCCCCGGGCUCAACCUGGGAACUGCAUCUGAUACUGGCAAGCGUGAGUCUCGUAGAGGGGGGUGGAAUUCCAGGUGUAGCGGUGAAAUGCGUAGAGAUCUGGAGGAAUACCGGUGGCGAAGGCGGCCCCCUGGACGAAGACUGACGCUCAGGUGCAAAAGCGUGGGGAGCAAACAGG
rnacentral:rRNA from 1 species